GCGGUCCUUUGCUCAGUUGGAUAGAGCAACGGCCUUCUAAGCCGUGGGUCGCAGGUUCGAAUCCUGCAGGGCGCGCCA
rnacentral:tRNA from 1 species